rnacentral:rRNA from 1 species
UUUUGACCUCAAAUCAGGUAGGACUACCCGCUGA